rnacentral:lncRNA from 1 species
AUAUUUCUUACGUCCAUAACCCUCAUCAUCAUCAUCACCACGCCUCUCCCGACGCUCAUAACCAUACUCAACACCUUCCUCACUCACAUUUUCACUCCUUCCAUAGCUAGGUUUCUCUUCAUACUCACUCCUUCCAUAGCUAGGUUUCUCUUCAUACUCACUCCUUCCAUAGCUAGGUUUCACCUCAUACUCACUCCUUCCAUAACUAGGUUUCUCUUCAUACUCACUCCUUCCAUAACUAGGUUUCUCUUCAUACUCACUCCUUCCAUAACUAGGUCUCUCUUCCUCCCCAUAAUCACUCUUCUUCCUCCCACCAUACCCCGAUCCAUACUCCGAUUCCUCACUCUUCUUCCUCCCAUACCCUUCAUUCUCUUCCUCAUUCCUCCUUCCAUAUCCACCUCCAUAUUCCGAACUUUCAUUCUUCCUCCCACCACCAUACCCCGAUCCAUACUCAGUUUCCUCCUUCCUGCCACCACCAUAUCCCGAUCCAUAUUCCGAUUCCUCAUUCCUCCCACCACCAUACCCCGAUCCAUAUCCAGAUUCCUCCUUCCUCC